GCUGACGGCGCGGACGCGCAGACCGCGCCUCAGAUGUUACUGACGCUGUCAGCGCCUGGGACGCCGCCUACCGCGCUGCCAACACUCCAGAUGCGCCGACCGCGCUGCGGGUGCCAUCCGUGCCUGGGACGCCGCUGUCGCGCCUCGGGGUGCGGAAGCCUUCCACGCACCGUAGAUGCCUCCGACUGCCGCUGAGGCCGUUAGCGCCUGGGACACCGCUCUUACUGUGCAGGAUCUUAGUGCACCAUUGCUCUGCAGACUUGGACCAGGGUGGAGUGAGGUAGCGGAGGAGCUGUGCCAGCGUCUACAGCGAAAGGAAAGGAUGCUGCAGGACCUUCUGUGUGAUUGACACAAACAAGUGGUGGAACACGAAAUGGAGAUUAAAGGCCUGCUUCAGUCUGUGAACUUCAGGAAGCAGGAAAGCCAACUUGCUGCAGAGAAGAUGGCACAAACCUUGACGGAAAGAAAUUCAGAAUUACAGGCCCUGUGCCAGUAUUUGGAAGGGAGAGACUCCAUGAUGUUCCAAGCACCCAUCUCUAACCAACGAGCUGAAAUUCCCUUCAUUGGCCCCCCUCUUGGAGAACAGACUGAUCAAUCCCCCAGAUUUUUAGGGUCCAGUGCAGAUACCUUCCAGAGAUGAUAGUCCUUUAUUGACUGCCAAAGAAGAUGCCAGCAUACCCAGAUCCACAUUAGGAGACUUGAACACAGUGGCAGGGCUGGAAAAAGAACUGAGUAAUGCCAAAGAGGAACUUGAACUCACGGCUAAAAAAGAAAGAGAAAGUCAGGACCUGCAUAUACAACUGAUUAUCCUGAAGACAUACCACCUGUGGAACGCCUGACCCAAAAAUAUUACUUCUUUGGGAAAAAGUUGCUUCAGUAGAAUCCCAGGGUCAAGAAAUUUGAGGAAACCAAAGACAACGGUUGCUGCUGAUGCUAGAAAGACGAGUAGAUGAACAGAGUCAGCUCAGUGAGGACUUAGACGCAAAGAGACAGCUCUCUAGCAGUCUGGUGAAGUUCCACGCCCAUCCAGAGAGAAAAGUGAUUUAUUACAUAGAGAGUUUCCAGAUAAGUUUGGGGAUUUAUUGAGAUGGAGUCUUCCUCUGUUGCCGAGACUGGAGUGCAGUGGCACAAUCUCGGCUCACUUCAACCUCUUCCUCCCAGGUUCAAGCAACUCUCCUGCCUCAGCCUCCCGAGCAGCUGGAACUAUAGGCACAUGCCACCAUGCUCAGCUAAUUUUUUGUA